AUUGCCCUCGAAUAAUUGAUUGCAGAUUCUCAUUCUCAUUCGGUUCAGACAGGGGCAUAUAACAAUUUUGAAUCCUUAACUCUUUUUAUGACAAAGGGUGAUAACUUUUAUCGUCCUUAGAUGGAUUCAUACACCU